GUUUAAAAAACACCUGCACACUCUUUGACCGCUUUCCGCCAUUCCAGGUUGACCUGCUGAAGGAAGUGGGAAUAUGUAGACGAUAUUAGAGCGAAAUUUUUGUUCACGCACCCAUCUCUACGCAGAAUAGGGAUUCGUUGUGUAUCUUUCACCGGUGUUGCGGUUAUUUUACCUUUGGAACAGGUGCGAGACACCUCCUGCUUUGUUUGGUUUACUAGCGACAGGUUUUACCCAUUGUAGUAGAUUUAAUGUUGAUAUUAUACGCUAAUGUUUAUUGGUCAUAAAUGUUCACAAUUUAUUAUUUA